AAAGGUUUAAGUUAAUGAAACUAUUUACUUUCAAAGUAAAAAAUAAUAAAAUUAACCUUUA
rnacentral:tRNA from 1 species